AGAGAGAUAUUUCCCAAAACAAUGUGAGAUUACAGAUUAUGGAAGAUUGCUGGGCAUUAUGACAAACAAAGGUAUCAAGGAGGAAUAUGAACAAUGUAGGUCAGCAGUCAAAAUCUCUCACCUUAUUCAACUCUUAACAGCAUGUUCCUAUGGAUCCAGAUGCAUUAAAAGAUUUCUAUUGUGUUGCAACCAAUGGAAUAGGCUAAGAAUCACACUGUUUUGCCUCUGUCACCAAAGACUGAAAUGUUUACUUCAAAAGACCUUCACCUGCAGUUAUUAAUAUUUCAACAAAGUUCGUGGCCCAAAAAAAGCUUGCAGUUGAAAAGGAAAGGAAAGAUAAAAAAGAUUCACUAUGUCAUAGAAGCUAGCUUUACUAGAACUGUGUAGAAACUUUUGUCAAGGUUAAAGAAAUCAUUUUGUAUAAACAGAACUAACAGUUAUUGCUCGAACUUUUUAACAGGGAUAAUUUAAACUGGUGAUUGUUAUCUUUAUAUGUUGUACAUUUUGAUACUAUUUCCAAUUAGAUUAUGCAAAAAUAUGUCAUUUGUAUCAGAUAAUGCUUAUAAGUGUUAAUGUGAGUUUAAACAGAGGAAAUUCGGACUGCAAUUUUUGGGGAAUUAGAUUAUGAAAAUACACUACUUUUAUAUAGGAUUUAGAUCCUUUUGUCCUAUAUUCUAAUACAUUGUACAUUCAAUGGUUAAAAGUUCCUUGUAUAGAUAUUUAAUGGGAAUUUAUUGUUCAUUUUUUCUGCCAUCAUUCAGAAUAAAAAAAUUAAUGUUUAAAGGAAAAUAGGAAAUCGGGGUGAUAAUUAUCUUAAUUAUUAAAGACCGAUUCAUAAUUUUCUUUAUAUGCAUGAUUUUUAGUUUUAUUUC